UCCCUUCAAAAAGCACUUGUUGGGUCCGUUUUCCGAUGGCCCAGGAAGUUGUCGUGGAAGGGUAAAGAAACAGCAUUACUUUUGGGUGAGGUUAACAGCUUGUGCUGUUGUUCCUCAAUCGGUAAUGCAACAAAA
rnacentral:snoRNA from 1 species